rnacentral:lncRNA from 1 species
UCCACUCUUGUUUCUUCCUUAAUCAGUUUCAAUCAACUCCUCUUCCUAUUCCAUUUCACCGCCUCCUUCCUACACUAAUUCCCAAUUUAUCAUCUCGGUUGAGACAAGGAGAAUGGAAGCUUAAAAAAAAAAUCAAUUCAGCAGUGAGGAAUUUAGUCAGAAGAUAACAAGAAGUCAUAGCAAGCAAGUUUAAGGUAAUACAACUCAACUUUUCAUGAUUAUGAAUGUAAGGUUUAAAUAAAGUGAGUGAGUUAGUUUUUAAAUAAAAAAAAAAUAGUUAGUGAUAUGAAUUGGCUAGCUAUAUAUGCUUAAUCGAAGUGUUAGUAAUUGAUUAACAAAGAUGAGAUUGAAAUAUUACAUCUCAUAAUAGAAUCAAAAGAGUUGAGUUUUGAAAAGUGAAUAAACUAAUUAGUUUACUAAAUAGUUGACUAUAUAUGAAUUCGAUUGUGUAGAAGAUUGUUAUUAAACUGGUAUAGUGCAAAGGAGUAUAGGUUGGGUUGUGAGGAGUAAUAAGGUGGGAAAAUGAGUAGAACAGAAAUCAAACAUCAAGAAAUCUGCGUUUUGAGGAAACGCACACCAAGUGCUUGAUAAAAGUCUUCUGUGGACUGUUUUGGUUAAAAACGAAGAAUUAAGUAAAGCCGAGUCCAAGGUUACAUAUAUAUACACUAUAUGUAGAUAAUUAAAGGAUUUGAGCAAAUCAAAUUAGAACGAAAAGCAAUUGUAAGCCAAAACGAAAAAUCGAAAUAUAGUGUGUCGGGCCACUUAUGGACUAACAUUGGACUGUUUUGGAACUUUUGUGGUUUUGAUUCAUGUCUGAAAUUUAAGUUUUGUAGUAGUAUGUUAUACUCCUAUGAGUUAUGAAAAUAACCCAAUUGGAACGAAGUAAAAAUGAGCUCAAACGAAUUUAUAGUGAAUGUUUUGGUAAAACAUGUUAAAAACUAAGAAAAACAAGUGAACUGCUGCCCCUAAAAUAAAAAUUCGGGGUUAGGUAGGAUGUUCAGAAAAUUCUGGACUUUUGGUAUGUUAUAGUACACUGAAUAAGCUUUCCAUAAACUCUGGAACGGACUAAUUCCGACUUCGGAGCAAAGAGUUAUGACCGUUCAAAGUAGUCGCGUCGAAACUGUCUAACCAACUCGGGGUAGUCACCUUGAACGAAUUUUCUGGAAUUCUGUGUUUAGAAUUUGGAAAAGAUCAAAGAAUAAAAGUUGUAGUCCCGGAAGUUAGCUUCGCCUAGGCUCAAGAAUUGCCUAAAAAUGUUUUAAAACGAAAAAGUUAUGACUGUUUUAGUGAGAGAGGGUACAGCUGGGAAGAAAUUGAAACUGUUAUGAACGUCUACUUUUGACGCAUUAUUUGGGCUGCCUAAUGAACCCGAAUUUGGUGACUCGUACAUUUAAAAAAAUAGUCUCAUAUACUAUAUAUUACAUAUUUAAAAUUCGUUGUAAUCCACUAUACGAGCUAGAAGUAAUGAGGUCGCAAAAUGGGCAUGUUGGAAACAGAGCUGCUGCCCACGGCAGCAGCAGUGGUGAUGUUUGGCAAUGGCUGCGGGCUUUCCUUGGGCUCUCAGCCAACAAAUUUAAAUUGCUUAAAAUGUACGGCUAAUGUUUUACUAUAAUAGCUGAGUAUAUCACCUACAUAAUAUCAAAAUUCCAUAUGAAUAGAUCAAAGUCGUGAGGAGCGAAAAGCUAGCAAAACAAGAGAAAAGAAGAAGGGGUUGUUGCCCAUUAGGCAGCAGUGAACAACAGUAGACAGCAGCAAGAAGCUGCUACAGCAGCGUUGAAGAGCCAUCUUGGCUUCGAAAAUUAGUUCAAUAGUUUACCCAAAAAGUUGAGUUUGUCAUCUCUAGGACACCCCCAAAUCUAGGUACUUCGUUCCCAUAAGACUUGGUGUUCACUUUCCAUUCAUUCAUACUAUCUACCCAAAUAUAAUAAAAUUAAAUCAUAAAACAUCCCUUUAAAAUAGGGUUACAUCAUUAAAUAAACAUCUUCCCAAGUUGUCUAACCUUAAUCAUCAUAUAAGUGCGAAAAUAAAAUUAUUAAAUCACAUCAUUAAUUAAAAGUCUAUCAUCAUAACAAUAAAUGAAAAUUAUAAGUCUACAUCACUUGUACAUUUCCAUUGCUAGUUGAAGGCUCAUCUACCUUCUCAACUUUAGCUGCAACAAUUAUAUUUAACAAGAGUGAGCAAAACAAAUGCUCACUAGGUAUAGCAACGAAUCAACAAGAUAAUAAUAACUACCAAUGAAUAGGCUCAUCAAAACUGAAUAGUACUCUAUCAAUGAUAAUCAAAGACUGAAAUCAAAAUAUGGAAUAUAUGUAUCUGAGGGUCAUAAGACCACGAACUAUGUCUACAGUUGUAAGUAAUCUUUCAACUACAACUUUAACAGUCAUAAGACUAUAAGGACUCCUCGUACUUAGGGGGAUCAACCCUUUAUACAAUGUAUUGUGCACAAUCAUUUCAACGCUAAGCGUAAAUUAUCCCCUAAUAAUAGGGUUGUUCAUCUCAGUAUUUAGAGUACAAGUCCGCACCAAAGUAAGUUUGGUUUGGAUACAUUUCAAGGUUAAUUUAGAAUUCAACGGUCAUCAACUAAGGAUUAGUUGAAUACGAUAUUGAUAACGUCAUGUUAUGGAAUAAUCAUAACUGAAUCGACAUUGUAAAUUAAGAUCAUGCUUUAGGAAUAAACUAAUAGCAUAAACAUCGAAUAAUCAUAACGUACCUUACUUGAACAAUAUUAAGCCAAGGUUAUUUAGAAUUGAGUACUAAGCAUGCAUAACCAAUAGUAAUUUAAACGAUAAAACUUGUUCAACAUGAGUAUAUCAGAAUAUGUAAACUUGCAUGCUAGAUAACAAGUUAAAGACAAGAAUAACUUGUUCAAUAUCAGAAUAAGAUUUAGAAAUCAUAAACAAACUAAAUACAAGAACUUGCUCAAUCGUAAGAAUAAACUUGCACAAUGUAAUAAAUAAACUAGCUCAACGAAAGUGUAGAGUUAGAAAACUUGCUCAAUUGUAAAAGUAGAAUUAAAGAGCUUGCUCAAUGUAAAAAAGAUAAGUUUAGAAACUUGCCUCGAGAAUAAGCUAUAAUAUUAAACUCACGUUCACCUACACAUAGGUUUAGAACCACAAUAUCUCUUAGACAUACUAAAAUACCAUAACAUAUGCAUUUCUAGUUAGACUUGUUAUUUCCGUAUAAGUCUUAUACUACCAUAUACAUUUCAGAAUUUCCAAGUGUUAACAUCACAACACUUAUCUAACAUUCAUUGUAUAAACUAAGUUAUAACAUAACACGUUCAUAACUUAUAAUCAUUUAAAACUUUGAACUACUAACCACCUAACACGAUUCUGUUUUAACCAUGUUAUUACAUGUUUGACACCUUAACACAACCUUAGACCAAGCUAUAGGGGUGUUUCAAGGUCUGCAGUAGUAGCAGAACAAACUGUCUCAGGACAGGGUAUGGCGCAACUGCGCCACACACAGGCCUGGGACCGGUGCAACUACACCGGCACAGCUGCGCAGUUUUUAGCCUUGGCACCAGCGCAGCUGCGUUGGUGCACAGACAGAGGCAGAGACAGCUUUGAACAGUAGCCGACUUUAGCCCCAAAAACACAAAUUUCACCCACCAAACAGUAAUAUGUACACAAAUAAUUGAUAUAAAACUAUCAUAAACAUGUUUGCUAACAUAUUCCUCAACAUAGAACAAUUUACAUCAACUAAAACUAGUUUAAUUUCUCAAAUUUUGCGUUUUCAUAUAAAAACUCAAUUUUUGAUAACCUUCACGAAAAUCAACACUAUAAACACAAUUCAUGUCCAAAUUGCUUCGUUCAAAUUACGUUAUGUUCGUUUCUUAAUGAACUAGCAUAAUCAAGCCUCAAUUACAGUUUAGUAUACGAAUUGACCAUAAAAAUUAGUAUUUACAUAAGCCAUAUGAGAAAAUAUUCAUAACAACAUACACUGUAAUUAUCUUUCCUACUUUUAACUUUAAUUAAAAUACAAAUUCCUUGUUUAAACAUAAACUCUAAUCAUCAUUAACACAGAUAAUCACCAUAAUUAGUUGUAUAGUAACAUUUGAAAGAAAUAGAAUUCACAGAACUUGAGAUUUUAUGUCGUAAAUUCACACACACACACACACACAUAUAUAUGUAUGUAUGUAUGUAUGUAUGUAUGUAUGUAUGUAUAAUAUUGAGAUUAUGAAAAAUUACCUUCAAUUAGCUUGCACAACCUUGCUAAACACAGAAUUUGUUGUGAAAAUUCUUAAGACUCCUCUCCAAUUCAUCUGAAAACUCUCUUCUCUUCUCUCUUCUCAGUAGACUAAACUCUUAGUUAAGUGUAAACAAAUAAACUGAUAGGUUAGCCAUAAUACGUAUACUUAUUAUAAUAUCAGUUACAAAUAAAAUAUAACGUAUCUGUUAUAAAUUUAUUUUAUUUUAUUAUUUUUUAUAAUAAAAUCCAAAAUUUAAAAAUCCAAAAGUCAUAAGGCUUUGUUUGGCAACACCUCUUUAAAAUUUAAAGACUUAAUAUAUUUAAGCUUUGUUUGGCAAAACUAAAUUACACUCCUUUAAUUUAUUUUAAUAAACAAUUUAGUUUAUCAUUCAUAAUCACAUAUUAAUUAUUUGGAUUUCCAUAUCCACAUUAAUCAAAUAAAUUAGUUACACACUAUAUUUUAAUUUAAUAUACCAUUUAAACAAAUAACACAAAAUUAUAAUUUCAUUAUAAUUUUAUCUAAUAAUUUAACAUAUCAUUUUAAAUUAUUAAAUCAACACAACAAUAUAACAUCUCAUGUUAUAUUACAACUCUCUCCAUUAUAAAUCACAUAAAUUUAGAAUUUUAUUAAUUCACAAAUAUUUAGUAACAACAAUCACAUCAAAUAAAAUAUUUAUUCAACAAUUUUUACAAUAAACACAUCAAAUAAAUAUUUACAUAAUUCAAUAAAUAUUUAAAAUUAUAAUUUGAAAUUCCGAAUUGUUACAUCAUUCCCUCCUUAUAAUGAUUCUGUCCCCAGAAUCAAAACUCAAAUAAUCAAAAACACAUCAAAUAAAUAUUUACAUAAUCCAAUAAAUAUUUAAAAUUACAAUUUGAAAUUUUAGAUUGUUACAUCCUUCCCUCCUUACAAGGAUUCUGUCCCCAGAAUCACAACUCAAACAAUCAAAUCGUCACAUUCUUCCCUAAUUACAAAGAUUCUGUCCCUAGAAUCGAAGAUACAGAUUAAACAAAUAACUCAGGGUAAUUCUUUAUCAUUUCCGCUACGAGUUCCCACGUAGCCUCUUCGAUAUUGUGGUUCCUCUAUAUCACCUUCACAGAAGGUAUCACUUUAUUCCAGAGCACUUGUUCUUUCCUGUCGACUAUCUGGAUAGGAAUCUCUUCAUAUGACAAAUCUUUACUGAACUGCAACGGUUCAUACUCGAUCACAUGUUUGUAAUCGGGUUUAUACGGUCGCAACACCGAUACAUGAAAAACGUUGUGAACGUGUUCUAAUUCUGGAGGUAAAGCUACCUCAUAAGAUACUUCUCCCACUCUGCGUAGAAUCUCGAAAGGUCCAAUAAACCCUGUGCUUAGCUUUCCCUUCUUGCCAAAACGAAUUUUUCCCUUCCAAGGAGAAACUUUCAGGAACACGAAAUUUCCCGCUUUAAAUUCACGAUUCUGCCUGUGUUGAUCAACAUACUUCUUCUGUCGAUCUUGAGCAGCUACUAGUGUUGCUCUGAUGAGUUUGAUAAUUUCAGUGGUCUGCUGCACCAGUUCUGGUCCUAGCAGUUGACGUUCACCAACUUCAUCCCAGCAUAGUGGAGUUCUACAUUUUCUGCCGUAUAAUGCCUCGUAUGGCGGCAUGCCAAUGCUUUCAUGGUAACUGUUGUUGUAUGCAAAUUCCACCAAUGGUAGAUGAUCAUCUUAGUUUCCUUUGAAAUUCAUGAUGCACGCUCUAAGCAUAUCUUCUAGCGUCUGGAUUGUUCGUUCGCUUUGUCCAUCAGUUUGCAGAUGAUAUACUGUACUUAUCUUUAGUUGCGUUCCCAUGCAUUCUUGUAGUCUCAUCCAGAAAUUUGAUGUGAACCUUGGAUCUCUAUCUAAUACAAUUGACACUGGAACUCCAUGUCUUGAGACGAUCUCUUUAACGUAUAGCUUCGCCAGCUGAUCAAGAUUAAAUCUAAUCUUUAAUGACAAAAAGUGUGCAGAGUUUGUCAGUCUGUCCACUAUCACCCAUAUCGCAUCGUAUCCUUUCUGAGUCGUUGGAAGACUUACCACAAAAUUUAUUGUGAUAUGUUCCCACUUCCAUUCCGGUAUCUCCAACGGUUGAAGUAGUCCGCUUGGUCGUUGAUGCUCUUCCUUCACUCUCUGACAUGUUAAGCACUUUGCAACGUAUUUCGCGGCGUCUCUUUUCAUAUUUGGCCACCAAAAGCGUCGCCGCAAAUCUUGAUACAUCUUCGUACUUCCCGGAUGAAGUGAAUAUCUUGAGCUAUGAGCCUCUGUCAAGAUUUUUUCUUUAACAUCUUGUACUGCUGGAACCCAAAUUCGUCCCUCAAAUCUUAGUAUUCCUUUAGUAUCAACCUUUUAUUUCACUUCUUUACCCUCGAUCACACCUUCCUUUAUUUUUCUACAUUCCUCAUCCUGUAGUUGAGCGGUCUUCACUUUGUCCACCAAAGUUGGACUAGCUUCCAUCUGGUACAAUCUUUUGUCAGAUUCUUUUGGAAAUUUAAUUUCCAACUCUAGCCUUGCCAUUUGCUGAAAUGAGCUCCUCCUUAUCGGUUAACAACAUCAAUUUUUCUCGGUCAUUCCUACUCAAGGCAUCUGCAACCACAUUAGCUUUACCCGGAUGAUAAAAGAUCUUGCAAUCAUAAUCCUUUAUCAAUUCCAUCCAUCUCCUUUGACGCAUGUUCAGGUCCUUCUGUGUGAAAAUAUACUUCAGACUCUUAUGGUCUGUGUAGAUCUCACACUUCUCUCCAUAGAGAUAGUGUCUCCAUAUCUUCAGAGCAAACACUACCGCAUCCAACUCUAAGUUAUGAGUCGGAUACCCUUUUUUGUAGUCUUUCAAUUGCCUUGAUGCAUAUGCAAUGACUUUGUCGUUCUGCAUAAGGACACAUCCUAACCCUUGUGUGAAGCAUCACUAUACACCAUAAAAUUUCUUGUAUUAUCUGGUAAUAACAACACAGGUGCCACACUUAACUUCUUUUUAAAUUCAUGAAAACUUUCUUCAUACUUCUCCGUCCAAACAAAUUUUAUAGAUUUUCUAGUAAAAUUUGUUAACGGAGUGGCAAUCUUGAAAAAAUCUUGGAUAAACUGUCUAUAAUAGUCUGUCAAUCCCAAGAAACUUCUUACUUUUGAUGGAGUUCUUGGUGGUUCCCAAUUUAUCACAGCUUCGACUUUUGAUGGAUCUACAGAAAUCCCAUCCUUAUCAAUUACAUGCCCAAGAAAUUGUACACGUUCUAACCAAAAUUCACAUUUAGAGAAUUUCGUGUACAACUUUUCUUUUCUUAACGUCUCCAGCGUCAGACGCAAGUGUUCCACGUGUUCUUCUUGAGAUUUAGAGUACACCAGAAUAUCAUCGAUAAAUACCACCACAAACUUAUCUAAAAAUAGUUUAAACACCCUGUUCAUCAAAUCCAUGAACGCUGCAGGGGCGUUUGUCAAACCAAAAUACAUCGCCAAAAAUUCAUAAUGUCCAUAGCGAGUUCGGAAUGCCGUCUUCGGUACAUCCUCCUUUCUCACUUUUAGUUGGUGAUACCCACUUCUCAAAUCUAUUUUCGAGAAAUAUUUAGCACCCUUCAAUUGAUCAAACAAAUCAUCUAUUCUUGGCAAUGGAUAUUUAUUUUUAAUAGUGACCUUGUUUAAUUAUCUAUAAUCAAUGCAAAGACGCAUUGACCCAUCCUUCUUCUUCACGAACAACACCGGCGCUCCCCACGGUGAUACACUUGGCUGAAUGUACUUCUUUUCUAAUAGUUCUUGCAGUUGUACCUCAGUUCCUUCAUUUUGACCCGAGCCAUUCUGUACAGGGUCUUCGAUAUUGGAGCGGUUCCUGGCGCUAAGUCGACCACAAAUUCGAUCUCUCGGUCAGGCGGAUGUCCUGACAAAUCUUCCGGAAACACAUCCACGAAUUCCCUAACCACUGGUAUUUCCUCAAAUUUUACACUCUUCAUCUUUUGAGUAUCGACUAUGUAAGCUAAAUACCCUACACAGCCCUGACUCAACAACUUCGUGGCCUGCAUAAUCGUCAGACAUCUCAUUUGUCUAGGCGAUUUGCUACCAUGAAAAACUACCUUUGAUGGAGUCAUAAGGUUUACACACUUCUUUUGGCAAUCAAUUAUCUCUCCAUAAUUGAAUAACCAAUUCAUUCCCAAUAUCACGUCAAAUUCUCCAAGUUUUAUCGGGAUUAAAUCUACUGUCAUAACAUUCCCCUUAAUAUUCACCCUACAGUUCUUGUAUACGAACCUAACAUGAAUCACUUUCUUAUUCACAAUUUCUAUGUUUAAAGGGAAAUUCAACUCUUCACUAGGUAUUUCUAACCUCUUAGCAAAUUCAUCAGAUAUAAAUGAGCAAGUAGCACCCGAAUCAAAUAAUACAUAUACAUUUAUAUCAUUGAUUGGGAUAAUACCUGGCACGACAUCUUUUGAUUGCACCGCGUCCUGCAUAGUCACGUUGAAGGUUCUUGUUGUGGGCUUAUUUGUUGACGUUGGUCCAACAAUAGCCAGUGUACCUCUACUUGCAUUUCCCUUGCUUCCAUUCACCUCACCAGUUUUCUUCUUUGGACACUCGCGAGCAAAAUGAUACUUCGACCCGCAGGUGUAGCAAGCAUUCUUAUUGGGUUGAGUGUAAUUUGGGGCAAUGUGACCCUCCUGGCAACAAUUAAAGCAUGCCCACUUCCCUCUUAAGCACAUACCCAAGUGAAACUUUCCGCAAGUAGCACAUGCGUCAAUCUUCUUCUUUUGCUGGUUACCUUGCUGAUUUCCAGCUCCCACAUUUGCAUUCCACUUUAUCUUCAAAUUGUUGUUGCCAUUUCCACCAUUACCACCAGCACCAUUUUUAGUUUCUCCUUCAUUUUUCUUCUUCCUCUGCUCUUGAUUGUGCUUUGUUACAGCCUCGCCUCCACUCUCAGCGAGAAUUGCCUUCUCAAGUACUGCUGCAAAUGUCUUUAACUGGAACAGGGAAACCCUGCUGUACAACCAAGGCUUCAGUCCCUGCUCGAACCUUCUUGCUUUGCGUUCAUCAGUAUUCACUUGAUAUGGCGCAAACCUCGCUAAUUCGUUGAACCUUGCUGCAUAUUCUGACACUGUCAUUGUGCCCUGCUUUAACUCCAAAAAUUGCACCUCCAUCUGGUUCUUUGAGCUUUCUGGGAAAUAGGUCUCGAAGAAUAUUUUCUUGAACCUUUCCCAAGAUAUUACCCCUUGACCUCCUCAGGUUUUAUUGGCUUGCCACCAAUAACUAGCCUCUACUUUCAACAUGAAUGUUGCAAAAGUAGUCUUCUGAUUCUCCCCUACACUAGCAACAUCGAAAACCUUCUCUAUUUCCAUAAUCCAGGUCUGUGCUUCAACUGGAUUCAUGGACCCAUAGAAUUAUGGUGGCCCAACCGCCUUGAAAUUCUUAAAUGUCGCAGCUUGAUUCUGUGGCUGAUUCUGUAAUGCUCCUGUCAGUAACGUUACGAAUUGUUGAACUAGAUUAUCCUCAGCAUUGCUGUUAUUCUUAGGGUUCCUUUGUCGUGGUUGGCGUCUUGGAGUCAUUUUCUGUUAAAAUACACCCAUUAGAUUCUAUUCAACCUUUUAAGUAUUAUAUAUUCAACUUGCACAUCGCAAAAAUUAUCACAUAACACAAUAUCUUGAAUAAAUAGUAACUCUUAUUUAUUCAUAAUGUUUUAUAACAUAAUAAUGAUAGCAUUCAUACUAUCUACAUCUUCACUUUCCUGAACUACAAAAGUUGCAGGAUUACUUCAUCAUCAUCACAUCCCAUUGGUUAUAUCAUAUCCGGGAUUUACAUCAUAUUUACUCACUAAUCACAUAAUAAUUACAUUUAUGACGUUUUAUUAAAAUGCUGCAUAGCCUUACGACGCUCCUUUUCCUUAAUUCAGAACAUUGUUCGACGAUCUAAUAUGUAUGAUGGUAGCAUCUCAAACUGAAUAGGAUAACACAUGACUCGAUCUUGAGCUCGAUUGAUCAAGGUGUUGAAUACGUUAUUCAUCUCUUCUAUCUUGAUCCUCUUUACAUGCAUCUCUCUCUCUGCUACCCUGGCUCGUUGAAAAGCUUCCUCGUAUGCGUCUUCGGCUCUUGCCCUCUUCGUAGAUUCUUCUUUCAAUUUGUUCUCCAACUCUGUAAUCCUCUCUGCCAGUUGCUCUUUCUCUUCUUCAGUGUGGACCAGCUUCUCUUCAACAUUAUUCAGACGUUCCUCUUGAUCCUAGAUCUCAUCGUCCUUUUAUGCCAUUGAGGUCUGUUGUUCAGCUACUAUCUCUUGCAACUCCUCGACGGUAUCUUGAAGUUCCACAUUGCAGUCAUAUACUUCGUCUUACAUACGGGCGGCAAUCGAGUUAAGUGGAAGCUCUUCCUCCUCGUCAUCCUCAUCUCUAUCCGACUGUGGCAGCCCAACGGGGUCCUCCUCGUCCGUCUCUAUCUCAUCAUCCUCAUCAAGCAAUCCUUCCUACUCAACCACUGUGACCAACGAAGUUGUUUCCCGUGGCAGUAGCUGUUCCCAAACCACCUGAAUAUCUCGAGGCUCCUCCUCUCUAGGCAUCUGGAAUCCUUCCUCCCUAGCCUGACUAGAUCCUCCUAUAUUAGUCAUCUUGUCAACCAAAUUUUAAGUUUUAAUUACUAAUCAUUACUACUCGACACUCAUGAGCACAUAAGUUAUAAUCACAUAAGCACAUAAGUAUUUUAUUACUUCUUCCUUAAAACUCGAUAAAAGUUUAUCAUCACUAUCUUUUCAAAGGUUACUUCCUAAGGCUUUUCCCCACCUAAGGUUCAUAACCUAAGGCUUUGAUACCAACUUAUGACAACUCCAAAUCUAGGUACUUUGUUCCCACAAGACUUGAUGUUCACUUUCCAUUCACUCAUACUAUCUACCCAAAUAUAAUAAAAUUAAAUCAUAAAUCCUCGCUUUAAAAUAGGGUUUCAUCAUUAAAUAAACAUCUUCCCAGGUUGUCUAACCUUAAUCAUCAUAUAAGUGUGGAAAUAAAAUUAUUACAUCACAUCAUUAAUUAAAAGUCUAUCAUCAUAACAAUAAAUGAAAAUUACAAGUUUUCAUCACUUGUACAUUUUUCCCUUUCCCUUUCUAGUUGAAGGUUCAUCUACCUUUUCAACUUUAGCUGCAACAAUUAUAUUUAAGCAAGAGUGAGCAAAACAAAUGCUCACUAGAUAUAGCAACGAAUCAACAAGAUAAUAAUAACUGCCAAUGAAUAGGCUCAUCAAAACUGAAUAGUACUCUAUCAAUGAUAACCAAAGACUGGAAUCAAAAUAUGGAAUAUAUGUAUCUGAGGAUAAUAAGACCACGAACUAUGUCCACAGUUGUAAGUAAUCUUUCAACUACAACUUUAACAGUCAUAAGACUAUAAGGACUCCUCGUACAUAGGGGGAUCAGCCCUUCGUACAAUGUAUUGUGCACAGUCAGUUAACCGCUAAGCGUAAAUUAUCCCCUAAUAAUAGGGUUGUUCAUCUCAGUAUUUAGAGUAUAAGUUCGUACCAAUGUAAGUUUGGUUUGGAUACAUUUCAAGGUUAAUUUAGAAUUCAACGGUCAUCAACUAAGGAUUAGUUAAAUACAAUAUUGAUAACGUCAUGUUAUGGAAUAAUCAUAACUGAAUCGACAUUGUAAAUUAAGAUCAUGCUUUAGGAAUAAACUAAUAGCAUAAACAUCGAAUAAUCAUAACGUACCUUGCUUGAACAAUAUUAAGCCAAGGUUAUUUAGAAUUGAGUACUAAGCAUGCAUAACCAAUAAUAAUUUAAACGAUAAAAUUUAUUCAACAUGAGUAUAUCAGAAUAUGUAAACUUGUAUGCUAGAUAACAAGUUAAAAAGAAGAAUAACUUGUUCAAUAUCAGAAUAAGAUUUAGAAAUCAUAAACAAACUAAAUACAAGAACUUACUCAAUCGUAAGAAUAAACUUGCACAAUGUAAUAAAUGAACUAGCUCAACGAAAGUGUAGUUAGAAAACUUGAUCAAUUGUAAAAGUAGAAUUAAAGAGCUUGCUCAAUGUAAAAAGAUAAGUUUAGAAACUUGCUUAAUGUAAAAAGAUAAGGUUUAGAAACUUGCCUCGAGCAUAAGCUAUAAUAUUAAACUCACGUUCACCUACACAUAGGUUUAGAACCACAAUAUCUCUUAGACAUACUAAAAUACCAUAACAUAUGCAUUUCUAGUUAGACUUGUUAUUUUCGUAUAAGUCUUAUAUUACCAAAUACAUUUCAUAUUUUCCAAGUGUUAACAUCACAACACUUAUCUAACAUUCAUUGUAUAAACUAAGUUAUAACAUAACACGUUCAUAACUUAUAAUCAUUUGAAACUUUGAACUACUAACCACCUAACACGAUUCUGUUUUAACCAUGUUAUUACAUGCUUGACACCUUAACACAACCUUAGACCAAGCUAUAGGGGUGUUUCAAGGUCUGCAGUAGCAGCAGAACAAAUUAUCUCAGGACAGGGUAUGACGCAGCUGCGCCAUACACAUGCUUAGGACCGGCGCAGCUGCGCCGGUGCAGCUGCGCCGGUGCAGCUGCGCAGUUUUUAGCCUUGGUACUAGCGCAUCUGCGCUGGUGCACAGACAGAGGCAAAGACAGCUAUAAACACUAGCCGACUUUAGCCCAACAAACACGAAUUUCACCCACCAAAUAGUAAUAUUAACACCAACAAUUGAUAUAAAACUAUCAUAAACAUGUUUGCUAACAUAUUCCUCAACAUGGAACAAUUUAACAUCAACUAAAACUAGUUUAAUUUCUCAAAUUUUAUGUUUUCAUAUAACAACUCAAUUUUUGAUAUCCUUCACGAAAAUCAACACUAUAAACACAAUUCUUGUCCAAAUUGCUUCGUUCAAAUUACGUUAUGUUCGUUUCUUAAUGAACUAGCAUAAUCAAGCCUCAAUUUACAGUUUAACAUACGAAUUGACCAUAAAAAUUAGUACUUACAUAAGUCAUAUGAGAAAAUAUUCAUAACAACAUACACUGUAAUUAUCUUUCCUACUUUUAACUGUAAUUAGCAUACAAAUUUCUUGUUUAAACAUAAACUCUAAUCAUCAUUAACACAGAUUAUCACCAUAAUCAGUUGUAUAACAACAUUUUGAAAGAAAUAGAAUUCACAGAACUUGAGAUUUUAUGCCGUAAAUUCAUAUAUAUAUAUAUAUAUAUAUAUGUGUGUGUGUGUGUGUGUGUGUGUGUGUGUAUAAUAUUGAGAUUAUGGAAAAUUACCUUCAAUUAGCAUGCACAACCUUGCUAAACACAGAAUUUGUUGUGAAAAUUCUUAAGACUCCUCUCCAAUUCCUCUGAAAACUCUCUUCUCUUCUCUCUUCUCAGUAGACUAAACUCUUAGUUAAGCGUAAACAAAUAAACUGAUAGGCUGGCUAUAAUACGUAUACUUCUUAUAAUAUCAGUUACAAAUAAAAUAUAACGUAUAUGUUAUAAAUUUAUUUUAUAUUUUAUUUUAUUAUUUUUUAUAAUAAAAUCCAAAAUUUAAAAAUUCAAAAGCCAUAAGGCUUUGUUUGGCAACACCUCUUUAAAAUUUAAAGGCUUAAUAUAUUUAAGCUUUGUUUGGAAAAACUAAAUUACACUCCUUUAAUUUAUUUUAAUAAAAAAUUUAGUUUAUCAUUCAUAAUCACAUAUUAUUUAUUUGGAUUUUCAUAUCCACAUUAAUCAAAUAAAUUAGUUACAAACUAUAUUUUAAUUAAAUAUACCAUUUAAACAAAUAACACAAAAUUAUAAUUUCAUUAUAAUUUUAUCUAAUAAUUUAACAUAUCAUUUUAAAUUAUUAAAUCAACACAACAAUAUAACAUCUCAUGUUAUAUUACAACUUUCUCCAUUAUAAAUCACAUAAAUUUAAAAUUUUAUUAAUUCAUAAAUAUUUAGUAACAAUAACCACAUCAAAUAAAAUAUUUAUUCAACAAUUUCAACAAUAAACACAUCAAAUAAAUAUUUACAUAAUCCAAUAAAUAUUUAAAAUUAUAAUUUAAAAUUUUGGAUUGUUACAAUCUCUAAAUGGACAGGUGUAUAAAAUCUACAACCUACCUACAGUUUAAUACCAUUGAGUUAGUAAUCUAUAAAUUAAAGUCUAGUAGAGAUAUUGAGUAUCUAAAUUGGGGCUGUUAGGCCAAGUUUGAAACUGUUCAUGCCUCGAAGGGGCUGUCUUGUCAAUGAUGAAAAACAACAAUAUUUAAAGCAUUAGUGGACCUAAAUGGAACUAUAAAAUAUUAUACGUUGUCCAUACAAGUUAUAAUUACACUCAAAGCACAAAAUGAGUUCGAACUCACCUUGAAUACCUAAAAUAUAUAAGUUCAUAUAUAUAUAUAUAUAAUGUAACGCCCCAAAAAUUUGGAUUUUCCAGAAUUUAAGUUUAAAGAAUUAGUUAUUAAUAAAAUGAAUUUUUAUUAAUAAUAAGGUGUUAUGUGUUUAUUAAUCGUUCUAGAACCUAGGAUGAUUAUAAGUCGAGAGGAUUCUGGCUACGAGCUAGACUAAGCGAUUAAGAAUUUUCAAGACGAAAAUGAAAAUUUUCCGGGAACAAAAAUAUUUCUGGGGAAAAAGACAAAAUACGCACUAUUCACCCGACGAAACCUAAGGGUUAGGGUUUGAAUAACCUAAGCCGUUCUGAGAGUUCAGUAUGUCGAAAUGACAUUCCGUCGAAAGAUUUGACGAUAAUAUAUCUUGAAAAGUUAAGUAAGUAGAUAAAAGUUUUUCUCGAAAAACGUGCAGAAAUCGGAUAAAAUAAAAAUGACGAAAAGUACUACUAUGUACUUUUCAUUCGUUUGGCUACGUUAGGGUAAAACAUGAAGGAAAACGCUCAACGCUAAAAAGUGUUUUUCAGUUUUUCGGAAAUCCGAAGAAUACGUAAAAGUUAAUCGGUAAAGGAAAGACGAAAUAUCCAAAAAUAUUUGGAUUCCGAGAAUCGCAGUUUUUAAAACUGUCGGACGAAACCUGAAAAACGGAACCACGAAACUUACAGGCUAAAUUUCGUGAAUAGUAAGGAGGUUAACUAAGGAGGUGGAUGUACUAGACUUAAGUUUUAAGUAAACUUAAGUGUUAAGCAAACUUAAAGGCUAAGUAGACUUAAGUGUUAAGUAAACUUAAGGAGUGAGUUAACUUAACACCUAAGUCAUGAAUAGUAAGGAGGUGUGAAUAGUAAGGAGGUUAGGGGGUGAAAUGACUAAAAUGCCCUUAGCCUUGAAAAUCUAUAAAUAGUAAGCUUAAUUCAUUUAUUUGGGAUAUUGAAAAAUCCUACAUCUUAGAGAGAGAGAGAGAGGAUUCGGAUGGAGAGAGAUGAGGAAGAGCAUGAGCAUGAUUGAUCGGAUCGAAAGUGUUCGUGAAAUAGAAAAGCUAGCAAAUCGCCGAUUUUGUCUAGCGGAAGAAAAAUAAAGAGGAAAGGUAUUAAAACCUAACUUCUAUGUUAGAUUUUCUUUAAGUUUAUAUGUUUAAAACAUAACUUAAUGAGAAUAAGAAGUAUAUGAUGUUAGGAAUGAUUUCAUAUGGUUGAAAUCAUAAGAAAAUGAAGAAAUAAGAAUUUAAAGUUUAGUAAAUAAAUUUCUUAAGGAAGUAUAAGAUUCGUAAUGAAUUAGAACGAUCCGAGUGGAUUAUAUAAAUAAGUAGGUGAAAUAAGUAAGGAAUAAUGUUUUAUAACAUCAAAUUCCAAUGAAAAGUGAAAUUGUAAUCCAAAAUAUCGAUUAAAAUGAAGAACGAAUGAAGAACACGAAGAACAUGCAAAGAACACGAAGAACGUUGUUGAUGGACAAAUUUAAAACCAUCAUAGGAUAAUUGUUGUUGAUGGACAAGUUUAAAACCAUCGCGUAUAAGUUAGAUGCUUGUUUCUUGGUUAGGAACGGUAGAAACGUUCAUGAAGAACGGAUUAAAACUUAGCUAUAACGAAGUUAUGGCGAAAAUUUCGUAAAAGACAAACGAAAAUUAGAAAUUUAGUAAAUGAACCCGAACGUGUAUGGUUUCAUAAGAAUGUAAGAAAAUGUUGAAAACAUGAGUCGUGGACUCAAGAACGAUAGAAUUCCGAGUUCGGAUGACCGGAUUACGGACGAACAAACAAAGAGCAUUAAAAACGUAAAUGAACGAAGGCUGAAGAUCAAGCAAAUCGAAUAGCACGUUAACGGAUUCAGAAUGAUGUUCUAUCCGAGGGGGAUUGAAGUACGUAAGAUAAAGAAGAGAAUGGCUUUGGAAUGACCUCAUUCCGAGUUAUAACGAAUAAAUUAUGGAAGCGGGAAGAAAGCGUCUCAAAUUGGAUGAACGAACGUGAGGGGUUGCUAGGGUUGCGAUUCCUUAGACGUUGAGCGACGAGGGUAAUGAAUAACAUUUCGAUGUUAUGUCAUGAUAGUGAGAGAUAAGUUUGAAGCGUUUAGACGCUGUGUACGCAACGCUGUUGUGGUAAACGAGUGAUCUUAGCAUACAGCGAAAUGUAUGGCUUCGACAUUAAAGAAGAAUAACGAAUGGUAUUAAGAAAGCCGUAAUGAACGGUAAUAAGAUUAAUGGAAGCCGAAUGUGAGUCGGAUAAGAACGUUAGAAUAAAAUGUAUGCGUUGAACACUUUAACCGACGUGAAGGUUGAGGGUACGCAAAUAUUAAACGGAUAGAACCUACACCCCGUGUAUGGUUUGACCGUAAGAUAAUGACGAUCAAUGUUUAAACCGUGAACGGUAAAGAAGUUGAAUUAAAGAUAAUAACGUUUAACGUAACGAAGCCGAGUUAAGGAUUAAAGGGAAUGAUCGUUUUGAGUAUACAAAAGACUAUAUGACUUAGACGAUAAAGAGUGAAUACUGAGGCGUGGAAUUUAGUUGCCAGGAAGCCAUAAAGAAUGAGAAAUUAACUUAACGAAGAUUAUAGUUUAAUAGUUCGGAUAAGUCAAGAUAAGUAAGUUGUAGUACAAUCGUAACCUUUGAUGGUUGACAUAUGGGAGCUGGGCUAAACAAUUCCUUCAGAGAGCGAAGGUAUAUACAAAACUGGCAACCGAUCUAACUCACUGUUAUGGGCAGUGUAGACGAGACGGGAACUUGUUUGUUGGUUGUUUGUGGGAAACCACUCAGAGUACCAUAUGGACUACUAGCAGAGAAGCGAUGUGUGCUAAGUCUUAGAGAAGUAAUAAGAAGAAGAUAAGAUGUAAAACAUCAAAGAUGAUGAACGUAUAAGUAAGACAUCUCCGUAUGUCAUGAAGCCGUAGAACGGUAGUGAAAGUGGUCGCGUAAACUUAGGUUGCAAGAACGCGAACCCUAAGAAGUAAAGUUAAGUAAACUAAUGCAUAAGUCAAAGAUGUAUGACUAAUUAGUGUAUGUGUUGUUUUUUUUAUGUGCUACAUAGGAACUAGAAUGAGCAGUUCAGCGUAAGCUGUAGCUGUGCGUAAGGCAAGUUUCCUAACUUCAUUCAUACUUCAAAUGAAUGCUAGUUUCUUAAACUUCUCAGAUGUUGAACUUGAGAAGUUCCGUUUAUGUGCUAAUGUGUGAUAUUUGUACAAGGUGGUAGAACGUAUGAGGCCUUGUGCCACAAUGUGAACACUUCGAUGUUUUUAUGAGAUGAAUUGUUCUGUGAUUAACUGUUCAAUAAGAGAAUGCUCUGUUCAUACGUUAUUGUUAAGUUUGUGCUAAUGAUUCUAGCCAGACAGAAUGUGUAUGAAAAAGUUAGAAGAAUGAAAGUAUUUUAAAUUAAAGUGAAUAUUGUUUUAAAAUGAUAGGAAUCGAUAUUAUUCCUAUUAUUCAAGCUGCUUCAUAACCUUUGUUCGGUUAUUGAUGUCUUAAAAGAAUGUUUGAAUUCUUGAAGAUGUUUGUUCAACUGUAAUGACUUGUUGGGCAAUUGAAUGCUCACACUUGCUUUUAAAUGAAAAACAUUUUUCAGCGAACGAUGUUAGAAGAACUUAAGGGUCUUGUAAAGAUCAAAAUGACGGUAUCCAGAUGAGGUGCUAUUCAGGAUGUGAAUAAGCGAGAAGAUUAAGUGAAGAUUUAUAAUAUAGGAAGAUGAAAUUGAACUAUAGACUAGUUUAAGGAACUGUUAUGUAUCCUUGGUGGCGGAUAAAAGUCACUCUUGUAAGAUGAAAUGAAUAAUGUAUUUAUCAUUAUUUGAAAUGAAAAAGGUUAUAAGGUUUCCAGAACCUGGGAUUUGAGAGUAUAUGUUGUUAUAUUUAGCUAUAUAAUGAUGUAUGUUUGGAAGAAGAUGGGAUCGUGAUGUACGGAAUCCGGGUGUGAAGAUAGACCGGAUUUCGGGGCGUCACAUAUAAGCAUGUAGUAUACAUUAAAAGUGAUCAGUUUGGUAGCAUGAUAAUAAGAGCAAUGCUUUGCAGUCUGAGGCAAUGAUUGAGGUAAAGAAGAUUGUGGGCAAAUCGAAUGGGAGUGGGUUUUUGUUAUUAUGAGGUAAAGAAAAAAAAAAGAAGUUCAAUAGAAUUUAAUUUGAAAAGUUAUGAGGGAACUCAUAAUUUUUAUAACUUCACUACUAGAAUAAAAGUUGAGGACCCAUAUGCUAAUUGAUUCAUUGUUUCAUUUUGUGCUAACACCACAGUUAGUAUUGAUGGUAUUGAAUUUGACAAGUGUGAUGUAAUAGGCCAGAGCUUCAUGUUUCAUCAAAUUGGAAGAAUUUCAUAAUGGUGUAUAUAUAUUUAAUAUAUAUAUAUGAAGUGAGAAUGCGAAUUAUUCGUAAGAUAAAAUGUGAAGCUAAGUUACUAAUAAAGUAAAGGAUUCACGUACGAGGCGAUAACCUGGUUUAACUUAUGAGCUAUUGAGAAAGCAUAAAAAUUACAAAAGUUAAAGAAAUGUUAUAGUAAUGCCAUGUUUAUGAAAUAAAAAUUAUUCGUAAACCAUAUGGUCUUAAGUCUACAAAAAAAAGAUAAGAAAUAUCCGUUAAAAGGAUUGUAAAUGGUUUAUAACUCGAAACGUAGAGUAUUUAUAUACUAGAGCCAUGAGAGAACCUUUUUGGGCAAAAAAAAAGUUAUAAUGAACAAAAGUUUUUAAAGAAAUGUGAAAUAGUUUUAAGACAAGAACAAAGGAUUAUAGUUAAUGUAAAUAAAAUUAAGUUUACAUUAAGUAUGUGAAUUUAGUAUAUGAAACUAAUGUGUGUAUGAAUAUAUAUACUCAAUUUGUGUAGGAUCAUCACCGAACAGAUGAGUUAUAACAUUAAACAGCACUCAAGGCAAGUUUCUCAGUUUAUUUAUGUGGACGUAUAAUUGCUAUAGAUAACUGUUACCAUAAUUUAUGGUUAAAAGUAUGUAAUACCUAUGAACUGCAUUAUUUGCUUUGUGAAUGAUGAAUGUCAAAUUAUGACUAAUUAUUGAAUUGAGUUGGGGAACUCAAUAAAUAUGUGCAAUGAAUGACAUGUAUAGGACAUGUGUAGUAUGCUAUGGUAUGUAUGUUGCUACCAGCAGGACAUAAAUGUGAUAAUGCAUUUGUAAUAUGCUUGAACACCAAGAAUAUAAAUGCAUGAACUGAAUGUGAAACCUAUGUGCUAAGUGAUGCAUGAUAGACUGUUAGACUUGCUGGGUCGUCGUGCUCAAUCUUGCUUAAUUUGCAGGUUAAAGCUAUGAUGCGAUUUAUCGUGAUUAGGAGCGCAUGAAAAGAAGACUAGUGAUUUAAUUGAGAUUGUGUUGAAUCAUUUGAUGGUAUUUUCAUGUGUAAAUCACAGAUGUGUAAAUUUUUGAAUUAUUCGAUAGAUGAAGAUUAUUUGUUCUAAAGAGGGGAUAUGCUUGAAAGAAUGAAUUAUAUAUAUAUAUAUUCAUAUCUACUCAGGCUAAAUAAGUCAUAUAAUAAAUAUGAUUUUAGUAUAAAGAAGAAUUGUAAAGGUUGCGAUUCAGGGAAUGAAUGAAUGGA